GUCUUGAGUGCAGUUGAGGCAGGCGGAAUUCGUGGUGUAGCGGUGAAAUGCUUAGAUAUCACGAAGAACUCCGAUUGCGAAGGCAGCCUGCUAAGCUGCAACUGACAUUGAGGCUCGAAAGUGUGGGUAUCAAACAGGAUUAGAUACCCUGGUAGUCCACACGGUAAACGAUGAAUACUCGCUGUUUGCGAUAUACGGCAAGCGGCCAAGCGAAAGCGUUAAGUAUUCCACCUGGGGAGUACGCCGGCAACGGUGAAACUCAAAGGAAUUGACGGGGGCCCGCACAAGCGGAGGAACAUGUGGUUUAAUUCGAUGAUACGCGAGGAACCUUACCCGGGCUUAAAUUGCAGAUGAAUUACGGUGAAAGCCGUAAGCCGCAAGGCAUCUGUGAAGGUGCUGCAUGGUUGUCGUCAGCUCGUGCCGUGAGGUGUCGGCUUAAGUGCCAUAACGAGCGCAACCCUUGUUGUCAGUUACUAACAGGUGAUGCUGAGGACUCUGACAAGACUGCCAUCGUAAGAUGUGAGGAAGGUGGGGAUGACGUCAAAUCAGCACGGCCCUUACGUCCGGGGCUACACACGUGUUACAAUGGGGGGUACAGAGGGCCGCUACCACGCGAGUGGAUGCCAAUCCCUAAAACCCCUCUCAGUUCGGACUGGAGUCUGCAACCCGACUCCACGAAGCUG
rnacentral:rRNA from 1 species